UUGGCGAGCACUUGCUGUAUGGGGGGUGACAUGAACGCUGUUUUCGAGGACGAUGGUUGAGAUGAAUGCAUCAGGCUGUCAGGCUGGCUGGUUGGCGUUGUGAGUCCAAAGCGCCUUGGUCCACAAGCACACUGAGACUUAGGCUACUUUGACAAGGGGUGUGCGUCCAUUUUGAGGCUUGCCGCAAGUAUUCACCAAUCGUUAAUUUAACAUGCAGUAAGCGUCACAUCGCAGAGUAAUAUCUGCCUGUGUAACCCGUAAUCACUGGGUCUUCACCCGUAAUUUUGCGUGUAAUUGGUUACAUGUGCCCGUAUUUCACCUCCAGCACCGCGUAAAAUCCACCCGUAAUCACUGGGUCUUCACCCGUAAUUCUGCGUGUAAUUGGUUACAUGCGCCCGUAAUUCACCUUCAGCACCGCGUAAAAUCCACCCGUAAUCACUGGGUCUUCACCCGUAAUUUCGCGUGUAAUUGGUUACAUGUGCCUGUAUUUCACCUCCAGCACCGCGUAAAAUCCACCCGUAAUCACUGGGUCUUCACCCGUAAUUUCGCGUGUAAUUGGUUACAUGCGCCCGUAAUUCACCUCCAGCACCGCGUAAAAUCCACCCGUAAUCACUGGGUCUUCACCCGUAAUUUCGCGUGUAAUUGGUUACAUGUGCCCGUAAUUCACCUCCAGCACCGCGUAAAAUCCACCCGUAAUCACUGGGUCUUCACCCGUAAUUUCGCGUGUAAUUGGUUACAUGUGACCGUAAUUCACCUCCAGCACCGUGUAAAAUCCACCCGUAAUCAUUGGGUCUUCACCCGUAAUUCUGCGUGUAAUUGGUUACAUGCGCCUGUAAUUCACCUCCAGCACCGCGUAAAAUCCACCCGUAAUCACUGGGUCUUCACCCGUAAAUGUUCACCUGUAUCCUUGUGCUCAAAUUACGAGACCCGUAACGUGUUACGGACCCGUAAUAUCUGUCAAAUUACGGGUGGAUUGACCCAAAAUUACGGGUAAAAUGACCCCCGUUUUCCCAGAGUGUGCUAUUGUCCCGUUGCUGAGCGCAACACUUGCAACCCUACUAGGAAUAACUUCUACAAUGACCAGAUAAGUAAACGAUUUCACCGGGGUGCAUUGGCAUGGGCAAAGGAGCAGCUGGCCCACAUCACCGACUACAAUGAUAAGGUGGCAGAAGUGCGGGCACGAAUCUUGUCGACCUGGCCGAAAAAGGAACAAAUUGGUGAAGCCAUUACUGGGCAAAAGCUCUUUGGAGGUCGAGUCCUGCCAAGGUUUCACUGGGAGCAGGUGGCAUAUAUCGACCUACUUGAGGUGUGUCAAUCCUAAUGCCAAUAGUAACAACUGUCAUUUCUUGUUCUUGACACCGACAGUUUUGUGACCAGGAACUCCUUGGUGUCCCAAAGAGACUGGAUGGCGACAUCGACCUGCUUACAUGGACUGGUUCACUCAAAAUUGUGUGAACAUGGAAAUCUGGGAGUCUGGGUUACUGGUAGACUGGGAGCCUGAGAGCCUAGGAACCUGGGGGACUGGGAGACUGGGACCCUAGGGGCCUGGAUGACUGGGACACUGGCAGGCUGGGAGUGUGGGUGACUGGUAGCCUGGUAGCCUGGGGGAUUGGGAGACUAGAAACCUGUGAGGCUGGGAGACUGGGAGCCUGGGUGGCUGUUAGUGUAGCAGCCGGUACACAGUACGGUGCUAUAAAUACGCACAGAGUGUGACCGCCAGCAACUCGAGAGACCUUUUCAGCGGUCAGCUGCUACAUUUGGUAUCGAGACCUCGUGAAAACUCACGUUCCUGAAGUCGUCGGUUCAACCCCCACCAAUCACGCUUGAGUGGAUUUCGGGUUUGGCGACUCAGAGACCGAAUAUCAUACAAAUAAUAAAAGUAGGUGAACCGACUGGACUGUCUCUGUGCCUGAAAAACCUGAAGACGGCUAGGCGCAUGUGAGCCGGCACAUGAUGUGACGUGGAGUAAUUACCCACUGCCCGAGGGUAGGCGAAGGUAGGCACAGGCUGGCAGGAUACGAGGCUCUAAGGGCCUGGGACGGUUCCCGUCAAAGUGGGGGGAAUGUAGCAGCCGGUACACAGUACAGUGCUAUAAAUACACACAGAGUGCGACCGCCAGCAACUCGAGAGACCUUUUCAGCGGUUAGCUGCUACAGUUAGGCUGGGAGCCUAGGAGCUUGUGAGGUUGGGAGCCUGGGAUGCUGGGAGUCUGGGAGACUAAGAGACUGAGAGACUGAAAGACUGGAAGACAGAACUCACCCCGAAAAGCUGCUCAUCACCACUGGCACCACGUCCCAAGCUGUUGCCUGUGUUAUGCAUUGUCAUGGACUGGAGUGAACCAGUCCAUGUAAGCACGUCGAUGUCGCCAUCCAGUCUCUUU
rnacentral:lncRNA from 1 species